rnacentral:rRNA from 1 species
CCUACGGGAGGCAGCAGUGGGGAAUAUUGGGCAAUGGGCGCAAGCCUGACCCAGCAACGCCGCGUGAAUGAAGAAGGCUUUCGGGUUGUAAACUUCUUUUAAGAGGGAAGAGCAGAAGACGGUACCUCUUGAAUAAGCCACGGCUAACUACGGGCCAGCAGCCGCGGUAAUACGUAGGUGGCAAGCGUUGUACGGAUUUACUGGGUGUAAAGGGCGUGCAUCCGGGAAGACAAAUCAGAUGUGAAAUCCCGGGGCUCAACCGCGGAACUGCAUUUGAAACUGUUUUUCUUGAGUACCGGAGAGGUCAUCGGAAUUCCUUGUGUAGCGGUGAAAUGCGUAGAUAUAAGGAAGAACACCAGUGGCGAAGGCGGAUGACUGGACGGCAACUGACGGUGAGGCGCGAAAGCGUGGGGAGCAAACAGGAUUAGAUACCCUUGUAGUC